UUAAGCGACUAAGCGUACACGGUGGAUGCCCUGGCAGUCAGAGGCGAUGAAGGACGUGCUAAUCUGCGAUAAGCGUCGGUAAGGUGAUAUGAACCGUUAUAACCGGCGAUUUCCGAAUGGGGAAACCCAGUGUGAUUCGUCACACUAUCAUUAACUGAAUCCAUAGGUUAAUGAGGCGAACCGGGGGAACUGAAACAUCUAAGUACCCCGAGGAAAAGAAAUCAACCGAGAUUCCCCCAGUAGCGGCGAGCGAACGGGGAGCAGCCCAGAGCCUGAAUCAGUGUGUGUGUUAGUGGAAGCGUCUGGAAAGGCGCGCGAUACAGGGUGACAGCCCCGUACACAAAAAUGCACAUACUGUGAGCUCGAUGAGUAGGGCGGGACACGUGGUAUCCUGUCUGAAUAUGGGGGGACCAUCCUCCAAGGCUAAAUACUCCUGACUGACCGAUAGUGAACCAGUACCGUGAGGGAAAGGCGAAAAGAACCCCGGCGAGGGGAGUGAAAAAGAACCUGAAACCGUGUACGUACAAGCAGUGGGAGCACGCUUAGGCGUGUGACUGCGUACCUUUUGUAUAAUGGGUCAGCGACUUAUAUUCUGUAGCAAGGUUAACCGAAUAGGGGAGCCGAAGGGAAACCGAGUCUUAACUGGGCGUUAAGUUGCAGGGUAUAGACCCGAAACCCGGUGAUCUAGCCAUGGGCAGGUUGAAGGUUGGGUAACACUAACUGGAGGACCGAACCGACUAAUGUUGAAAAAUUAGCGGAUGACUUGUGGCUGGGGGUGAAAGGCCAAUCAAACCGGGAGAUAGCUGGUUCUCCCCGAAAGCUAUUUAGGUAGCGCCUCGUGAAUUCAUCUCCGGGGGUAGAGCACUGUUUCGGCAAGGGGGUCAUCCCGACUUACCAACCCGAUGCAAACUGCGAAUACCGGAGAAUGUUAUCACGGGAGACACACGGCGGGUGCUAACGUCCGUCGUGAAGAGGGAAACAACCCAGACCGCCAGCUAAGGUCCCAAAGUCAUGGUUAAGUGGGAAACGAUGUGGGAAGGCCCAGACAGCCAGGAUGUUGGCUUAGAAGCAGCCAUCAUUUAAAGAAAGCGUAAUAGCUCACUGGUCGAGUCGGCCUGCGCGGAAGAUGUAACGGGGCUAAACCAUGCACCGAAGCUGCGGCAGCGACACUAUGUGUUGUUGGGUAGGGGAGCGUUCUGUAAGCCUGUGAAGGUGUACUGUGAGGUAUGCUGGAGGUAUCAGAAGUGCGAAUGCUGACAUAAGUAACGAUAAAGCGGGUGAAAAGCCCGCUCGCCGGAAGACCAAGGGUUCCUGUCCAACGUUAAUCGGGGCAGGGUGAGUCGACCCCUAAGGCGAGGCCGAAAGGCGUAGUCGAUGGGAAACAGGUUAAUAUUCCUGUACUUGGUGUUACUGCGAAGGGGGGACGGAGAAGGCUAUGUUGGCCGGGCGACGGUUGUCCCGGUUUAAGCGUGUAGGCUGGUUUUCCAGGCAAAUCCGGAAAAUCAAGGCUGAGGCGUGAUGACGAGGCACUACGGUGCUGAAGCAACAAAUGCCCUGCUUCCAGGAAAAGCCUCUAAGCAUCAGGUAACAUCAAAUCGUACCCCAAACCGACACAGGUGGUCAGGUAGAGAAUACCAAGGCGCUUGAGAGAACUCGGGUGAAGGAACUAGGCAAAAUGGUGCCGUAACUUCGGGAGAAGGCACGCUGAUAUGUAGGUGAAGUCCCUCGCGGAUGGAGCUGAAAUCAGUCGAAGAUACCAGCUGGCUGCAACUGUUUAUUAAAAACACAGCACUGUGCAAACACGAAAGUGGACGUAUACGGUGUGACGCCUGCCCGGUGCCGGAAGGUUAAUUGAUGGGGUUAGCGCAAGCGAAGCUCUUGAUCGAAGCCCCGGUAAACGGCGGCCGUAACUAUAACGGUCCUAAGGUAGCGAAAUUCCUUGUCGGGUAAGUUCCGACCUGCACGAAUGGCGUAAUGAUGGCCAGGCUGUCUCCACCCGAGACUCAGUGAAAUUGAACUCGCUGUGAAGAUGCAGUGUACCCGCGGCAAGACGGAAAGACCCCGUGAACCUUUACUAUAGCUUGACACUGAACAUUGAGCCUUGAUGUGUAGGAUAGGUGGGAGGCUUUGAAGUGUGGACGCCAGUCUGCAUGGAGCCGACCUUGAAAUACCACCCUUUAAUGUUUGAUGUUCUAACGUUGACCCGUGAUCCGGGUUGCGGACAGUGUCUGGUGGGUAGUUUGACUGGGGCGGUCUCCUCCUAAAGAGUAACGGAGGAGCACGAAGGUUGGCUAAUCCUGGUCGGACAUCAGGAGGUUAGUGCAAUGGCAUAAGCCAGCUUGACUGCGAGCGUGACGGCGCGAGCAGGUGCGAAAGCAGGUCAUAGUGAUCCGGUGGUUCUGAAUGGAAGGGCCAUCGCUCAACGGAUAAAAGGUACUCCGGGGAUAACAGGCUGAUACCGCCCAAGAGUUCAUAUCGACGGCGGUGUUUGGCACCUCGAUGUCGGCUCAUCACAUCCUGGGGCUGAAGUAGGUCCCAAGGGUAUGGCUGUUCGCCAUUUAAAGUGGUACGCGAGCUGGGUUUAGAACGUCGUGAGACAGUUCGGUCCCUAUCUGCCGUGGGCGCUGGAGAACUGAGGGGGGCUGCUCCUAGUACGAGAGGACCGGAGUGGACGCAUCACUGGUGUUCGGGUUGUCAUGCCAAUGGCACUGCCCGGUAGCUAAAUGCGGAAGAGAUAAGUGCUGAAAGCAUCUAAGCACGAAACUUGCCCCGAGAUGAGUUCUCCCUGACUCCUUGAGAGUCCUGAAGGAACGUUGAAGACGACGACGUUGAUAGGCCGGGUGUGUAAGCGCAGCGAUGCGUUGAGCUAACCGGUACUAAUGAACCGUGAGGCUUAACCUU
rnacentral:rRNA from 1 species